rnacentral:tRNA from 1 species
GAUUUAUUAGUUUAAGGAGAACGUUAAAUUGCAAAUUUAAAAGUAAAAUUAAUUAUAAAUUU